rnacentral:tRNA from 1 species
GAGCCAUUAGCUCAGUUGGUAGAGCACCUGACUUUUAAUCAGGGUGUCGCUGGUUCGAGCCCAGCAUGGCUCA